rnacentral:rRNA from 1 species
ACUCCUACGGGAGGCAGCAGUAGGGAAUCUUCCACAAUGGACGAAAGUCUGAUGGAGCAACGCCGCGUGAGUGAAGAAGGGUUUCGGCUCGUAAAACUCUGUUGUUAAAAGAAGAACAUAUCUGAGAGUAACUGUUCAGGUAUUGACGGUAUUUAACCAGAAAGCCACGGCUAACUACGUGCCAGCAGCCGCGGUAAUACGUAGGUGGCAAGCGUUGUCCGGAUUUAUUGGGGCGUAAAGCGAGCGCAGGCGGUUUUUAAGUCUGAUGUGAAAGCCUUCGGCUCAACCGAAGAAGUGCAUCGGAAACUGGGAAACUUGAGUGCAGAAGAGGACAGUGGAACUCCAUGUGUAGCGGUGAAAUGCGUAGAUAUAUGGAAGAACACCAGUGGCGAAGGCGGCUGUCUGGUCUGCAACUGACGCUGAGGCUCGAAAGUAUGGGUAGCAAACAGGAUUAGAUACCCUGGUAGGAUAGCG